rnacentral:rRNA from 1 species
CCUACGGGAGGCAGCAGUGGGGAAUAUUGCGCAAUGGGCGAAAGCCUGACGCAGCGACGCCGCGUGAGGGAUGACGGCCUUCGGGUUGUAAACCUCUUUCAGCAGGGAAGAAGCGAAAGUGACGGUACCUGCAGAAGAAGCACCGGCUAACUACGUGCCAGCAGCCGCGGUAAUACGUAGGGUGCGAGCGUUGUCCGGAAUUAUUGGGCGUAAAGAGCUCGUAGGCGGCCUGUCGCGUCGGAUGUGAAAACUCGGGGCUUAACCCCGAGCCUGCAUUCGAUACGGGCAGGCUAGAGUUCGGCAGGGGAGACUGGAAUUCCUGGUGUAGCGGUGAAAUGCGCAGAUAUCAGGAGGAACACCGGUGGCGAAGGCGGGUCUCUGGGCCGAUACUGACGCUGAGGAGCGAAAGCGUGGGGAGCGAACAGGAUUAGAUACCCUGGUAGUCCACGCCGUAAACGUUGGGAACUAGGUGUGGGCGACAUUCCACGUCGUCCGUGCCGCAGCUAACGCAUUAAGUUCCCCGCCUGGGGAGUACGGCCGCAAGGCUAAAACUCAAAUGAAUUGACGG